rnacentral:rRNA from 1 species
GUGGGGAAUCUUAGACAAUGGGCGCAAGCCUGAUCUAGCCAUGCCGCGUGAGCGAUGAAGGCCUUAGGGUUGUAAAGCUCUUUCAGGGGGGAAGAUAAUGACGGUACCCCCAGAAGAAGCCCCGGCUAACUCCGUGCCAGCAGCCGCGGUAAUACGGAGGGGGCUAGCGUUGUUCGGAAUUACUGGGCGUAAAGCGCACGUAGGCGGACCAGAAAGUCAGGGGUGAAAUCCCGGGGCUCAACCCCGGAACUGCCUUUGAAACUCCUGGUCUUGAGGUCGAGAGAGGUGAGUGGAAUUCCGAGUGUAGAGGUGAAAUUCGUAGAUAUUCGGAGGAACACCAGUGGCGAAGGCGGCUCACUGGCUCGAUACUGACGCUGAGGUGCGAAAGCGUGGGGAGCAAACAGGAUUAGAAACCCGGGUAGUCC